rnacentral:rRNA from 1 species
AACUCUUAGCGGUGGGAUCACUCGGGCUCGUGACGUACGAUGAAGAACGCAAGCUUAGCUGCGAGAACUAAUGUGAAUUGCAGGACACAUUGAUCAUCGACACUUCGAACGCACUUUGCGGCCCCGGGUUCCUCCCGGGGCCACGCCUGUCUGAGGGUCG